rnacentral:rRNA from 1 species
UAUUGCACAAUGGGGGAAACCCUGAGUGCAGCGACGCCGCGGUGAGCGAUGAAGUAUUUCGGUAUGUAAAGCUCUAUUCAGCAGGGAAGAAAAUGACGGUACCUGACUAAGAAGCCCCGGCUAACUACGUGCC